CGGGGCAUGGCGCAGCUUGGUAGCGCGUCCGCUUUGGGAGCGGAAGGCCGCAGGUUCGAAUCCUGUUGCCCCGA
rnacentral:tRNA from 2 species